rnacentral:rRNA from 1 species
AUUGAACGCUGGCGGCAGGCCUAACACAUGCAAGUCGAGCGGGAACUUCGGUUCUAGCGGCGGACGGGUGAGUAAUGCGUAGGAAGCUACCCGACAGAGGGGGAUACCAGUUGGAAACGACUGUUAAUACCGCAUAAUGUCUACGGACCAAAGUGUGGGACCUUCGGGCCACAUGCUGUCGGAUGCGCCUACGUGGGAUUAGCUAGUUGGUGAGGUGAUGGCUCACCAAGGCGACGAUCCCUAGCUGGUUUGAGAGGAUGAUCAGCACACUGGAACUGAGACACGGUCCAGACUCCUACGGGAGGCAGCAGUGGGGAAUAUUGGACAAUGGGCGCAAGCCUGAUCCAGCCAUGCCGCGUGUGUGAAGAAGGCCUUCGGGUUGUAAAGCACUUUCAGUAGGGAGGAAGAGUUGAGUGUUAAUAGUACUCAGCUUUGACGUUACCUACAGAAGAAGCACCGGCUAACUCUGUGCCAGCAGCCGCCGUAACAC